rnacentral:sRNA from 2 species
CGGCCAGUGCGCUGCAAUUUCUUCAUGGGCAAUCAGAACUGUUCAACAAGUAUCAGCUGUUAAACUAAUAAGUUGAUUAGCUAUUAUACAUACCUAACUAUAUGAAUUGACUCCUCCUUACUCCCCAUCGCCAGCCACUAGUUCAUUUAGUUCAUGUUGGAGUUACAUUGAAAAAGCUUUAAAAGUCGAAAGCAAGCAAGCAAGCAAGUGAGGAAGGAACUAUACUUCCUUGGCGCCAAAAGCCGUCGAGCUGCCAUGCAAGCAGAUACGAUUUAUCUUCCUUUUCGCUAGCUUGACAGGCACGAAACCAACAACCCAAGACGUGGUUGGGUUUUUGAUCUUUAUUUUGAACUCUUGUUACUUUCCAAGCGCAAUAACAGCCAUGGACGCUCUACCAUAUUAAUAUGGGCUGCUCCCUAACAGGGUUGAACUUUAACUUGGCUCUUCGAAACACAAGGACGAGGAGAAGAUGAUAAAUUGCACCUCUCCCCUGGGCUCCUGAGAGCAGCGAGUGGUUGGCAGCUCUAAAUCACAUCAUAGUUUUCUGUUUUGCUGAAUUAAAUAAAGUCAAACGGGCAUCCUUCAAUUUGAUCGCUUAACCCGGCUAUAACCCAGUAAAGUGCCGAGAGACAGCAUAUAAAGGCCAGGAUGGUUUAUAUCAGCCGUCGAUGUCAGUGCCCGGCGCCUUUCUUCGCCUUUCAAUACGCAGCUUAACUUCUUACCACUCCACGCGAGGGGAAGAGCUAUAGGUAUCAUUUAUCUGAUGAUUUCUGGAAGUAAAAAAGAGUCACAACCAACCCCUUUUCUCUUUAGCCCCUUUUGCAUAAUCCCUUCACUCUCCUUCACAUUCUUGUGGUCGAUUUUUCCGUGCUCGGCUAGAGCAAGCCAGCAUCAAUAGAGAAAUCCAGCGGAAAUCGCGCCUUCGGAAUCCAGAGAAAUGUGGAGACUGGGCCAAAUCCAUGUGUGGAUUUGAGUUUUAGCGAUUUUCAAUUGUCCCUUGCUAUUUUUGAUUAUGCUUCUCUGCGAGGACGUCGGUCUGAAGCCUGUGAGCCUUGAAUUUGGCGUAGACAUCCAUUGAUGCGCGUUUUGCAAAAUUCGAACCAUUUAUACAAUGGAUACAAAUUUAUAUAUCUGGCGACUAUUCCCGCUGUCAGCACGAUAUGGAAUCACAACAAGUACCUCUGUGAUGUCAAAUUUGGCGUGCACAGCUUUCGCGCCAUCGCCAGCAAAUUCGCCAAAAGACAUGAACCACACGUAUUUCGCCAACGUAGCCCUCGAAACCAACCGCAAACUCGAUGGCGCAAGUCACACUCUCGAUGCACACAAGCUCGGCUUUAUACCGGGCUGCAAAACCAUGGUCGUCUGCGUCGACGUCACCCACCCGUCCCCGGGCCCCUCCACUAACGCUUCCAGCGGCGCAGCCAUCGUCGCCUCAAUUGACCAAAUAUAUAUAUAUAUAUAUAAACCUCACCCAAUGGCCCGCAGAAUUCUGCAUCCAAGCCGCCUUCCAGAAGAUGAUGAUCUCAAGGCUCGAUGAGCUUCUCAAAUCCCGCCUGAAGCUCUGGGCCAAACAACACCACCGCUCUGUCUCCCCAGAGAACGUGCUCAUAUACCACGACGCAGUCAUGGAAGGCUAAUAAUACGACUCUGUCCUUGACGAGGCCUGACGCGCUCUCUACACCGCCCAGCAGACAGGAGCAGGCUUCUUCCCACAUCUACCCAUCAUCAUCGCCGGCAAGAGACAGUAACGCCCGCUUCUUCCCCUCGCGGUCCGCCGAUACAAACCGCUCCCGCAACCCUCGCAACGGCACCGUCGCCGACCGCGCCAUCAUGCACGUGCGCGGCUGGGAUUUCCUCGUCCAAUCCCACGCCGUAUCCCGUGCGAGGAGGGAGGGGGAUCAGAGGUAAGUGAACGCUUGCUGGGAAGAAGUUUGAUUGGUGAAUUUUGUCAUAUUGGGAAAUUUGAGAGGAGGAAAUCCCUUGUCUGUUUGUCGCUAGAAGGCAAUAUAUGUUUGAACCUGUUUUGGUUGAUCACUUUCUCAGCAUUAGAUGAGUAAAAACGCACCAACGUACCACUGUUGCUUUUCCCGUCUGAGUCUACUAAUUUUUAUAGCAGUAUUAGCUGGCCAGAGAGCGCAAAUUUAUCAGGAAUAUAUUUGUCUCUAAUUUCGAACGAAGCGGUCUUUCAAAAAAGCAAACGAAGAUGGGAGGGAGACUUAAGUCAUGGGUACAAACGGACAGCGGGAACAGAAGUAAGAGGAUAAAUAUCGGAAAUAUGAGAGCGGGCAGUAGUCAGAGGAUAAAAGUGAAGGGGUUUUCUGGUCGACCCCUGAGGCCAUAGGUGGUAAAUGUGUAACAAAUAGCUGGAUAAGGGCAAUGCCACGAGACAAAUGGUGUAUAGAUUAAAACAGGAAGGCUUUCCCUACUUCUUUUGGUGUCAUAUCUCUCUUUUUUAAUUCCUUUUGAUAUAUUUCCAGUCCAUGCUAUUUGUUUUUCCAAUAAUGAAUAUUCAUUCAAAUGAUUACAAAGAGACGGAGGGGUAAAGGAAAAAAAAGAUUUUGACUUGCUGUAAAGCGCUCAUAACGAGUGAAAAAUAGCCGUGGGUAUAGCAGUAAAUUUCAAAAGAUUUCUUUCCCCCUCUUCUCUAUACCCGCAGCAACUUGGCAGCAUGCGUGACAAUCGUCUCGUCCUGCGGGAAACUCAUCUGUUCCAACUUGAGGGCGUACGGUGUUGGUACCUCAGCACCAGUAACCCGGACGGCGGGCGCCUGGAGGUAGUCGAAAGCAUACUCCAUGGACAGCGCAAGAAUCUCAGAACCAACACCAAACAUGGGAAAGCCGGACUCGACAGCCAUCAGAUGGCCGGUCUUCUUCACGGACUUGAUGAUGGUCUCGACAUCGAGGGGCUUGAUGGAACGCAGGUUGAUCACUUCAGUCUCGACGCCGUAUUUCUGCUUCAACUCUGCAGCGGCGCGCAUGGCUUGGCCGACACAGCGGGAGAGGGAUACCAUGGUUAGGUCUUUGCCGACGCGUUCGAUCUUGGCUUUUCCGAUGGGGAGGACGAAGUCGUCCUUUUGCGCAGCUUCACUCAUGGGGAAGGAUUCGCCGUACAUGAGUUCGUUCUCGAGGAAUACAACUGGAUUGGGGUCGCGGAUGGCGGCCUUGAGGAGUCCCUUUGCAUCCUCAGAGCUCCAUGGACUAAGCACCUUGAGGCCGGGGAUGGAUCCGUACCAAGCGGAAUAAUCCUGGGAGUGUUGAGCAGCGACACCAGCAGCAAAGCCAUUGGGACCUCUGAAGGUUAUAUUACAUGGUUGGAUGCCGCCGGACAUAUAGUGUGUUUUGGCUGCGGAGUUGACGAUUUGGUCAAUUGCCUGCAUGGCGAAGUUGAAGGUCAUGAAUUCGCAAACGGGGUGCAAUCCCGCUAACGCAGCUCCGA